rnacentral:rRNA from 1 species
UACGUAGGGUGCAAGCGUUGUCCGGAAUUAUUGGGCGUAAAGAGCUCGUAGGCGGCUUGUCGCGUCGGCUGUGAAAACCUGGGGCUCAACCCCGGGCCUGCAGCCGAUACGGGCAAGCUAGAAUUCGGUAGGGGAGACUGGAAUUCCCGGUGUAGCGGUGAAAUGCGCAGAUAUCAGGAGGAACACCGGUGGCGAAGGCGGGUCUCUGGGCCGAUAUUGACGCUGAGGAGCGAAAGCGUGGGGAGCGAACAGG